rnacentral:lncRNA from 1 species
CCCAUGUUCUACACGAGAAAGUGUUUCUCGUGUAAACUCUCCAUGCACAAAUGAAGCCAUGCCCCUUCUCUUCUCAUGCCCAAGUGGAUAGGGAUGAGUUGGUUUGCAUUUGAAUUCAAAUUUGAUUUGAAUUUAAAUGUGCAACCACUUAUCUUUAUCCUCUCACGCGGAUAAGACACGUUUUGAAUUAUUUUAAAAAGAGGAGAAAGCUAGGGAGUGCACAGAGAAUUUUUUGGAGAGAAAGCC